UACGGAGGGUGCAAGCGUUAUCCGGAUUCACUGGGUUUAAAGGGUGCGUAGGUGGGUUCGUAAGUCAGUGGUGAAAUCUCCGAGCUUAACUUGGAAACUGCCAUUGAUACUAUGAGUCUUGAAUAUUGUGGAGGUCAGCGGAAUAUGUCAUGUAGCGGUGAAAUGCUUAGAUAUGACAUAGAACACCAAUUGCGAAGGCAGCUGGCUACGCAUAUAUUGACACUGAGGCACGAAAGCCAGGGGAGCGAACGGG
rnacentral:rRNA from 1 species